CAAUAGCGUAUAUUAAAGUUGUUGCAGUUAAAAAGCUCGUAGUUGGAUUUCUGGAUGGAGCGACCGGUCGGGCAUUAAUUUGUCUGCACUGGAGUCGGUUCCGUCCAUCCUCUUGGAAAGUGCGUCGGGCAUUAAGUUGUUUGGCGUAUGAUCCAAGUCGUUUACUGUGAAAAAAUUAGAGUGUUUAAAGCAGGCCUUCGCCUUGAAUACAUUAGCAUGGAAUAAUAAGAUAGGACUUUGGUCUAUUUUGUUGGUUUGCAGACCGAAGUAAUGAUUAAUAGGGAUAGUUGGGGGUUUUUAUAUUCCGAUGUCAGAGGUGAAAUUCUUAGAUUUUCGGAAGAUAAACUUAUGCGAAAGCAUUUACCAAGGAUGUUUUCAUUAA
rnacentral:rRNA from 1 species